rnacentral:rRNA from 1 species
GAGUUUGAUCAUGGCUCAGAUUGAACGCUGGCGGCAUGCCUUACACAUGCAAGUCGAACGGCAGCACGGGAGCUUGCUCCUGGUGGCGAGUGGCGAACGGGUGAGUAAUGCAUCGGAACGUAUCCUGGAGUGGGGGAUAACGUAGCGAAAGUUACGCUAAUACCGCAUAUUCUGUGAGCAGGAAAGCGGGGGACCUUCGGGCCUCGCGCUCUUGGAGCGGCCGAUGUCGGAUUAGCUAGUUGGUGAGGUAAAGGCUCACCAAGGCGACGAUCCGUAGCAGGUCUGAGAGGAUGAUCUGCCACACUGGAACUGAGACACGGUCCAGACUCCUACGGGAGGCAGCAGUGGGGAAUUUUGGACAAUGGGGGCAACCCUGAUCCAGCCAUGCCGCGUGAGUGAAGAAGGCCUUCGGUUGUAA